ACAUCUCACAAACAAGCACAUACCACUCUCAGCAGUUGCCCGAAACUUUCGCUUUUUUCCCGUGGUUUUUCACUUUUCAAAGAAACUCAGAGUCACAAGGAAAGCGAAACACCUGUGCGGAUGGGCGGCACAUGGAGACAGGAAAACACUGCGGCAGGGGAAUAAGCGGAUUCUUUGGGCGAGAAAGCUGGUGGAGAGGAAAGGCACCCGUGCGGCGCCAGUGCCUGUGGGUGCAUAUUGGUCCGCACCGUGGGAGAGCCCCUAUGCGGGGGCGUGCACAUCACUGACUGCACAGGGAUCACUCUGCCAGAGGAAUGGUGUGUUUUCCUCUUUCCAGAGUUUAACCCAGGCUUUCACGCGGUUCCAGCUUCAACAAGCAGAGCGCCCUGUGACACUCAGCAGACAAACACUUUGGUAUUCUGAGACAGCUCAGUUUGUAGAGGACUCACUAGAGAGAAUAUACAGGAAAGAUACCAAAAUAACAUUCAGGGGACAUUAAUGCACUUUCUGCUCCAAGAGCCCCAUCCCUUCGUUCUUAGUGUUUGUAUAUUUAUUCAUGUAAGUGUGUGAACACAUGCAUCAUGUCAUACAUAUGACAAGCAGAAGACAGUAUUCAGGAGUUGGUUCACUCUUCCACCAUGGGACUUCUGAAUCCGGCGAUCACUGUGCCUUGGGGGAAUCUGAAGUCCCUUCUCUCCUUCAGACACUAGGAAGGGGAAAUUUUUAUUUGGCCCAGGAGCACAAAUGUUUUCCUGCUAAACAAGAGUUUUGAGGCAAGUCACAGCCCAGAAAUCCAGCAGGACCAAGCUGCACAUCACCAGAGCGGCCAGCAGAUGGAGCAGGAGGACUAUGGGGAAAUGACGCUGUGAGAAGAGGAUGGCAGUGGAGUGAACGGGAUUCUACGUUCUGUGAAGAUACCCUGCGUGUGUGUGUGUGUGUGUGUGUGUGUGUGUGUGUGUGUGUGUGUGUGUGUGUGUGUGUGUGUGUGUGUGUGUGUGUAAAAUUCUUAAACAGGGAACACACAGUUUGCAUUUUCUGAACAUUUAUCUAAGCUUGAACUUUGUUCUCAUUUGUGAAUUUUUCAUAUGACUAAGACAGUGACAUCCAUUCAGGCUACUGAUUACAUUAUUAAAGUUAAUAUUUCCAGU
rnacentral:lncRNA from 1 species